GACGAACGCUGGCGGCGUGCUUAACACAUGCAAGUCGAACGGAAAGGCCCUGCUUUUGUGGGGUGCUCGAGUGGCGAACGGGUGAGUAACAAGUGAGUAACCUGCCCUUGACUUUGGGAUAACUUCAGGAAACUGGGGAUAAUACCGGAUAGGAGCUCCUGCUGCAUGGUGGGGGGUGGAAAGGUUCGGCGGUUGGGGAUGGACUCGCGGCUUAUCAGCUUGUUGGUGGGGUAGUGGCUUACCAAGGCUUUGACGGGUAGCCGGCCUGAGAGGGUGACCGGCCACCUUGGGACUGAGGUACGGCCCAGACUCCUACGGGAGGCAGCAGUGGGGAAUAUUGCACAAUGGUCGGAAGCCUGAUGCAGCAACGCCGCGUGCGGGAUGACGGCCUUCGGGUUGUAAACCGCUUUCGCCUGUGACGAAGCGUGAGUGACGGUAAUGGGUAAAGAAGCACCGGCUAACUACGUG
rnacentral:rRNA from 1 species